AUACGGAGGAUCCGAGCGUUAUCCGGAUUUAUUGGGUUUAAAGGGUGCGCAGGCGGCCAUUUAAGUCAGCGGUUAAAUCGUGGGGCUCAACCCCAUUCUGCCGUUGAUACUGGGUGGCUUGAUUGCGGUCGAGGUUGGCGGAAUUCGUUGUGUAGCGGUGAAAUGCAUAGAUAUGACGAAGAACACCGAUUGCGUAGGCAGCUGACCAGACCGCAAAUGACGCUCAUGCACGAAAGUGCGGGGAUCGAACAGGAUUAGAUACCCUGGUAGUCCGCACGGUAAACGAUGAAUACUUGUUUUCGGCGAUAUAAUGUCGGAGGCAAAGCGAAAGCGAUAAGUAUUCCACCUGGGGAGUACGCCGGCAACGGUGAAACUCAAAUGAAUUGACGGGG
rnacentral:rRNA from 1 species